AACGGGUUUUGUCAUGCAUCCCUAGCUAAUUGGGGUGUGAUGAAGUGCAUAAUUCCAAAGCUAUCUAGCCUGAGGGCUUAAAGAAAAGCUUAACUGUGCCUGCAAAGCAGAGUGGAGAUAGCUGGUGUGACAAGUGCCUAUCAGGAGGCUGCAGGCUUUGGAACCAGCCUGACACAGGGGCACUAUCAGAUUGCAGCUGGGAUUCUGCCCACAGUCCUGCUGCUGCCUUCAGCAGUGACUCGAUGGCCAAUUAGACAUUAAAGAGGCACAAUGUACAGCUUAUUUCAGAAGGAAAUAUUUUAACAGCACAGGUGACUGUCAUGCAUGCAUUAAGAAAACCAGGACACAGCAUACCAAAUUAAGUACAGCUACAGUGAAAUAAUUGUAACAGAGCAAUGCUGACCCCAGCUACUGAAUGCUGGCACCUGGCUUUUGCUGCACAGCUCAUGCAGGCAAACACACAGGGCUGAUGCUGGUAGGACCUCCAGGAUAUCCCUGGGUUUGUUCCCAGCCCACUUCCCAGUGUUAUGGAAACACUGAGAGCCCUUGGAUCAGGGGCAGAAGGACACUACAGCAGUGCCUGGGAGGAGACACAGCAGCCAGAAUGUGCAGCAAGAGUGGCAAGAGCCAGCUAAAAGUACCAUUGUCAAAAGUAGGAAAUUCCUUCCCAUGAAGAGUGUGGAUUUUGACAGCUGCAGUCUGGAACAAAAAGGACUGAGGUGACUUCUGUGGCAUCAGGACAAUGGCUGUUAAGCAAGGAGUGUGCAGCCAGGGCCAGCCCCCGUGGGGUCCCUCAGGGUCCUGCCCUGGCCAGCCAGGCAGGGAGGACAUCCCUCAGGGACACGUGUGUGGGCAGGAAGAGCAUGGACCUCCAUCCUGGAAAGACAGAGCCUGUAACUCUGAAAUCAGAAUCUGAGACACCACUUAUAAUGCCUCUAUUUGCAAUCCCUAAGCAAGCCUCAACCUUGCUUCCAGCAUCUAGUACAUUUUUUUUAGUUCUAUUUUUUUUUGCCUAAUUACACAAAGAAAAGAAAAAAACAUCCUAUAAAAAAAACUUUAAAAUUUGAAGACAGUUGUUGGAUGCACUUUGCAGCAGAUGUCAUUAUCUUCCUUCCCUGACCCUGACCCGCAACCAUUUCUAUUUUGCUUUAAAUGAUACUGUAAUUUCACAAUAUGUAUUCAGCUGGAACUAUUCUUUUUGUUAAAUAAACUUUACCCUUGUGCUGACUGCUCCA
rnacentral:lncRNA from 1 species